GGCUGGUGCCAAAUGCCAGGGGGUGCUCCUCAGCAGAGCACACGUCACUCUCUGCAGAGACGCCACAGAUCCCUGCUACUGCCCCUGGGGCAGUGUCCCCUCCUGCAAUGUGUGUGUGUGUGCCUUGCACACACCCCACAUGCAUGCACACCCCACAUACCCCACACGCGUGUGCGCACCCCACACGUGUGCGCACACACCUGCUCUUCUAGAGCUCAGAGAGAAUCCACCCCACCUGACGCCCGCUCGCUGCCUCCCUGCUGUCACCACCAGAAGCCAUCCAUCAGCAGCUCAGCCCCCAUCGCCCCUGACAGCCGGGCAGCAGUCCUCACUCCCCUCCGAGGGGCCCGUCUCUCUCAAUGGGCUCUGCUGGACAGACACAGAAAGUGAAGUCCACAGCGAGCACUACCCGGCUCGGUCCAGCCCAAGGCCACCACCUGCCUGCAUCCACUCCAUGCCCGCCUGGCCCAGGCCUGCACCUGGAUGACGGUUUGCCCUCAGUGCUGCUGCCUGGCCUUGCCCACACCCUGAUGGAUGGUGCCCUCUGUGCAGUACCCUGACGAGGCGCACAGCAGCCGUCUCCGGAGAGCGGCCCAGGCGGUGUGACCAUGUUGUGCUUCCCGGCGGGUGGCAGAGAGAGGCCAUGGCCCCAGCCGGUGCCACCGGGUGCCCCACCCACUCAGUGCGCCACGCCCAGCAUGUCCACUGCCCUGGCUGGACAGGCUCAGGGUUUCCAGAGAUGCACAUGCAGCAGCUUCUACUUCCCGGCUCCUAACAGGCGCAAGGAGGGUGCAGAUCACACCGAGGCGCCCAGAAGGGCAGGAACCGCUGCACUGCCCUGAGGCCUGCUGCCUGGUUCCUCGCAGGCGCCCUGCCCGGCCUGUCCUGGGCCUGCCUGGCUGCUAACCUACCCGCCUCCAAGCGCCUGGCUUAGACUCCAACUGCACCUUUAGAAGCAAGGAAGAUGGAGGCCGGGAGGCUGGGGAGACUUCACGUUAA